rnacentral:tRNA from 1 species
GGGGCUGUAGCUCAGUGGCAGAGCGCUUGCCUAGCAUGCAUGAGGCACUGGGUUCGAUCCUCAGCAAGCACCA